rnacentral:lncRNA from 1 species
AUAGAAAAGAACUACUAAUUGGUGGAACUGAUUUUAAAGUGAAUGAAGAGAAUCCUCCAGCCUUACAUCUUCUCAUGACUCAAGCAAGAACGCAUCAGAGAGCUCCAAAACUGCCCAGUGAUGCAUCUCUAGCGUGUUUUCUUAGAACUGGAAGCUUCACUGCCACGAGUCCCAGGACUUUGCUGAAAUUGGCUCUGUUGAGUCUUGAAGGGCAGCUGCUGUUUUUCCUGAUGAAAAGGCUUUCCCAGCUGCAAGCCAGCCCAGCCUGCCUCUACAGAGGGCUCAGUGCCUGUCCUACCCAGAUCAAGGACUGCCUGUGGAUUCUAACACUGACUAGGGGUUUAAAAUCCUUCAUCUCUUCUUAAGUGAUGUUGGCAACCUAAUUUUGACUUAAUAUUUCCACAAUGCUGAAGAAAAAAGAGAAAAAGAAUAAUUACAAAAAACAAAAUAAGCAGAAAUUGUUUCAGUGAGGUGUUUUGAUCACCCCCAUGAGCUGUUUUCUUGCUGUGCUGUGCAUGACUGAAAAUCAGAAAGUGAAUCUGCCUAUUACUGAAUGGGAAGCUGACCAAACUCGUUUCAUCAGACUUCAGCAAAAAUCGCAAACAAGGGAAAAAUAAACGUAGGUGAUUAGAAUUAUUUCCA